rnacentral:lncRNA from 1 species
GACUUGAAAAGAGAGAGAAAAGAAGAGAACAAGCUUUGGAAAGGAUCAGCACAGCCAAAACUGAAGUUAAAACUGAAUGUAAAGAUACACAGAUUGUCAGUGAUGCUGAAGUUAUUCAGGAACAAGCAAAAGAAGAAAAUGCUAGCAAGCCAACCCCUGCCAAAGUAAAUAGAACUAAACAGAGAAAAAGUUUUUCUCGGAGUAGGACUCACAUUGGACAGCAGCGUCGGAGACACAGAACUGUCAGCAUGUGUUCAGAUAUCCAGCCAUCUUCUCCUGAUAUAGAAGUUACUUCACAACAAAAUGAUAUUGAAAAUACUGUACUUACAAUAGAACCAGAAACUGAAACUGCACUAGCAGAAAUAAUUACUGAAACUGAAGUUCCAGCACUUAAUAAAUGUCCUACCAAGUACCCCAAAACAAAGAAGGUAUGAUUCUAAUGAAUGUAAGAACUGUUUUUCUAACAGUUUCUUAUAUUAAUUAUAUUGUUGUUUUAAAAAUUGGAUUUUUAAGACCUCAUAAUAAUAAGAGGCAGUUUUUAUACUUGCAGAUUUUAAAACUAAGAAUGAGAAUUCCAAAACUGUAAAAUUAAUAUAAAUGUUUGCAUUACUGUGAAGAUAAAGUUACAUUCAGUUUAUCAGGACUUUUAUGGUAUUGCAAUUCAUGAUUUCUUUAAAUAAGUUUGUCUACUUUAUGUACAAAAUAUAUACUUCUCUGAAACUGGUUUUAGAUGUGUUAUCCUUUAUAUUUUUAUAAAUUUCAUUGUAUAGGUAGAUUAUAAGAAUUAAAUGUGAAGAAAUUGAUUUCCACAGAAUGUACUAUGAAAAUUUGUAAGAAAGAGUAGUUUUAGGUGUAAUUAUUAAUAAAAAUCUCUGAAACACUA